GUUAGAGGGAGGGUUAUAUGGGGUAACAGGAGGGGUUAGAGGGAGGGUUAUAUGGAGUAAUAGGAGGAGUUAUAGGGAGGGUUAUAUGGAGUAAUAGGAGGAGUUAUAGGGAAGGUUAUAUGGAGUAAUAGGAGGGGUUAUAGGGAGAGGUUAUAUGGAGUAAUAGGAUAAGUUAUAUAGAGUAAUAGGAGGAGUUAUAGGGAGUAAUAGGAGGAGUUAUAGGGAGGGUUAUAUGGAGUAAUAGGAGGAGUUAUAGGGAAGGUUAUAUGGAGUAAUAGGAGGUGUUAUAGGGAGGGUUAUAUGGAGUAAUAGGGGGAGUUACAGGGAGGGUUAUAUGGGGUAACAGGAGGGGUUAGAGGGAGGGUUAUAUGGGGUAACAGGAGGGGUUAGAGGGAGGGUUAUA